rnacentral:rRNA from 1 species
CAUGCAGUCGACGGUAACAGGCCGCAAGGUGCUGACGAGUGGCGAACGGGUGAGUAAUGCGUCGGAACGUGCCCGGUCGUGGGGGAUAACACUUCGAAAGAAGUGCUAAUACCGCAUACGAUCUGAGGAUGAAAGCGGGGGACCGUAAGGCCUCGCGCGAUCGGAGCGGCCGAUGUCAGAUUAGGUAGUUGGUGGGGUAAAGGCUCACCAAGCCAACGAUCUGUAGCUGGUCUGAGAGGACGACCAGCCACACUGGGACUGAGACACGGCCCAGACUCCUACGGGAGGCAGCAGUGGGGAAUUUUGGACAAUGGGCGCAAGCCUGAUCCAGCAAUGCCGCGUGCAGGAAGAAGGCCUUCGGGUUGUAAACUGCUUUUGUACGGAACGAAACGGUCCGGGUUAAUACCCUGGGCUAAUGACGGUACCGUAAGAAUAAGCACCGGCUAACUACGUGCCAGCAGCCGCGGUAAUACGUAGGGUGCAAGCGUUAAUCGGAAUUACUGGGCGUAAAGCGUGCGCAGGCGGUUUUGUAAGACAGGCGUGAAAUCCCCGGGCUCAACCUGGGAAUUGCGCUUGUGACUGCAAGGCUGGAGUGCGGCAGAGGGGGGAUGGAAUUCCGCGUGUAGCAGUGAAAUGCGUAGAUAUGCGGAGGAACACCGAUGGCGAAAGCAAUCCCCUGGGCCUGCACUGACGCUCAUGCACGAAAGCGUGGGGAGCAAACAG